rnacentral:rRNA from 1 species
UGGGGAAUAUUGCACAAUGGGCGAAAGCCUGAUGCAGCGACGCCGCGUGAGGGAUGACGGCCUUCGGGUUGUAAACCUCUUUCAGUAGGGAAGAAGCGAAAGUGACGGUACCUGCAGAAGAAGCGCCGGCUAACUACGUGCCAGCAGCCGCGGUAAUACGUAGGGCGCAAGCGUUAUCCGGAAUUAUUGGGCGUAAAGAGCUCGUAGGCGGUUUGUCGCGUCUGCUGUGAAAGACCGGGGCUCAACUCCGGUUCUGCAGUGGGUACGGGCAGACUAGAGUGAUGUAGGGGAGACUGGAAUUCCUGGUGUAGCGGUGAAAUGCGCAGAUAUCAGGAGGAACACCGAUGGCGAAGGCAGGUCUCUGGGCAUUAACUGACGCUGAGGAGCGAAAGCAUGGGGAGCGAACAGGAUUAGAUACCCCCGUAGUCC